CCAAGCUCAGUUUCUGGACGUGUGUCAGAUGAGGGCUGCUCUCUGCUUCCAAGAUGCUGCCUUGUCGCUGUGUCCUACUCGGGGGAGGAACAUUGUCCCCAACUGUAGAAAUGACGGAAGGGGAGACAGCACUCCUUUAGAGCUGGCUCUGUACCGUCAAAGGGCCUGGAUAGGUGCCGCGCGGCCCACGGUCCCCUAGCUGCGCUGCGCCGCUGGGUCCUGCCGAGCUCGGGAGGCCGCCAGGUUCGCGCGCCCCCUGCCGCCCGGAGCGCCAGCCGCAGGUCUCCAAGGUGGGAACCUGGGGGAGACCGCGGCCAAAGAGCAGAGAGAGCGGCGGAGCUCUCGCUGGGUCCCUCGGUGCCGGACAGGACGCAGGUUGCUGGGCGUUCCCACCGUGGAUCGACUCCUGUCUGUCCCUCCGACUUAGUCGUUCCAUCGUAGUUUCAUUCGGUUGGAUUAUCCCGACAUGGCACGGAUUUAGCCACAAAGGUUUUGAAUACAGUGACACAAAUAUGAAGUGACUCAUAUGCCCAUCAAAUGAUGAAUGAGGGGCUGGGGCUGGGGCUCAGUGCUCAGUGGUAGAGCGGUAGAGCGCUAGCCUAGCUCGUGUGAGGCCCUGGGUUCAAUCCUCAGCACCACAUAUGAAUAAAUAAAUAAAGGUAUUGUGUCCAACUACUACAACCAAAAAAAAAGAUAUUAAAAAAAAGAUGAAUGGAUUAAUGAAACGCUGUGCUCUCUGCCAUGUAAUACUGUCCCUCACCCCAAACAGAACAAUUGCUGACUUGCUGGAGGUUGGGGAGUGACUAAUGGGUUCUCUCUUGGGGAUGCUGAAGAAGUUUUGGAAAUAGGUGAUGAUUGCAUAGCCUUGUGACUAUACUAAAAGCCACAGAAUUAUGUCCUCCAAAAAUAGUGAUAUAUGAAUCUCUCCCCCCCCCCUUUUUUUUUUUUUUUUCCAGGG
rnacentral:lncRNA from 1 species